rnacentral:tRNA from 1 species
CAUCAAGAAAGAGACUUCAGCCCCUCCAUCAACCCCCAAAGCUGAUAUUCUAGAAUAA